GCAUACGAUCUAAUCUCGGCAUCGAGGAUGGAUGAAAGGUGGCCUCUACAUGUAAGCUAUCACUGAAGGAGGGGAUUGCGUCUGAUUAGCUAGUUGGAGGGGUAACGGCCCACCAAGGCGAUGAUCAGUAGCCGGUCUGAGAGGAUGAACGGCCACAUUGGGACUGAGACACGGCCCAGACUCCUACGGGAGGCAGCAGUGGGGAAUCUUCCGCAAUGGACGAAAGUCUGACGGAGCAACGCCGCGUGAGUGAUGACGGCCUUCGGGUUGUAAAGCUCUGUUAAUCGGGACGAAAGGCCUUCUUGCGAAUAGUGAGAAGGAUUGACGGUACCGGAAUAGAAAGCCACGGCUAACUAAAGGG
rnacentral:rRNA from 1 species